rnacentral:rRNA from 1 species
CUGGAGGUAUCAGAAGUGCGAAUGCUGACAUAAGUAACGAUAAAGCGGGUGAAAAGCCCGCUCGCCGGAAGACCAAGGGUUCCUGUCCAACGUUAAUCGGGGCAGGGUGAGUCGACCCCUAAGGCGAGGCCGAAAGGCGUAGUCGAUGGGAAACGGGUUAAUAUUCCCGUACUUGGUGUUACUGCGAAGGGGGGACGGAGAAGGCUAUGUUGGCCGGGCGACGGUUGUCCCGGUUUAAGCGUGUAGGUGUGUGUUCCAGGUAAAUCCGGUUCACUUUAACACUGAGGCGUGACGACGAGGCACUACGGUGCUGAAGCAACAAAUGCCCUGCUUCCAGGAAAAGCCUCUAAGCAUCAGGUAACAUCAAAUCGUACCCCAAACCGACACAGGUGGUCAGGUAGAGAAUACCAAGGCGCUUGAGAGAACUCGGGUGAAGGAACUAGGCAAAAUGGUGCCGUAA